CUGGCAUUAAACAUCUUCCCUCAACAUGGGGCUCUGUACAAGUCGUACGUUACUUCAAAGGCAAACAGAGCCACGGGGGAAAACAGAUCUGUCGCCGGCAAGGGCUCCCGGGACUCAAGCUGUCUUGUCUUUGUGACGUGCCAGCGGCUGGCAAGAGAUAUCACCUGCUUCAAUAAGGCAGAUAGGAACAUACUGAACCAAGAAGAGGUCCAGAAGGUCCAGGGGCUGAGGCUGGGGCAUUGAGCUUCCGAGGCCAGCCUGGAUUACAUAGCAAGACCCCAAACAAACACUUGUCCUGUGUCUCCAAGAUUGGCCUUGAACUUGAUGUGUAGCAGAAGACAACUUUGAACUGCUUCCCCAGCCAGCCCUUCUGAUGUUGGAGAUUACAGGCCUUAGAGCACAGGCACGCUUAUCCAUUCAGACACUGUGUAUGUGUCCACACUAGCUGCAGCAGUCUCUAUGCCUGUGACUGUCAACGGGCCGGCCCUCCUCAGUUUACUGAUUCCUG
rnacentral:lncRNA from 1 species